GACGAACGCUGGCGGCGUGCCUAAUACAUGCAAGUAGAACGCACAGUUCAUACCGUAGCUUGCUACACCAUAAACCGCGAGUUGCGGACGGGUGAGUUACGCGUUGGUAACCUGACUGGUAGCGGGGGAUAACUAUUGGACACGAUGGCUAAUACCGCAUAAUAUUAAUUAUUGCAUGAUAAUUGAUUGUAAGAUGUAAUUGCAUCACUACCCGAUGGACCUGCGUUGUAUUAGCUAGUAGGUGAGGUAACGGCCCUCCUAGCUGACGAUACAUAGCCGACCAGAGAGGGUGAGCUGCAACGCUGGGACUGGGAGACGGCCCGGACUCCUACGGGAGGGAGCAGUAGGGGAUCUUCGGGAAAGGAAGAAAGUGUGACCGAGCAACGCCGGGGGAGUGAAGAAGGUUGUCGGGUCGUAAAGCUCUGUAAGGAGAGAAGAACGGGAGUGAGUGUGGAAAGGUCACACUGUGACGGUAUCUGACCAGGAAGGGACGGCUAACUACGUG
rnacentral:rRNA from 1 species